AUAAUGAAUACAUGCCACAGCCUCUUUGCCCAGAGUUUCUGUAUAUAGCCUUCUAUGGGAGGCUCUAUGAAUUGCCCUUACAAUCUCCCCCUUCCCUGUCCCUGAACAUGCCAUUUUAAAUAAUUAUUGAAGAAAUUGCACUUUUUAAGUUGUUCGGUUUGAAGUGGCUCGAAGGAGCUUGAUGUAUAUUUUUGUGCUGAUCGCAGUUUUAUUGUCGGAAUAUCCAUGUUGAUAGCUGUCUGAUCUGGGUGUUUGAAAGAGAACAUUUGCAGGUUUUUAGGGUGUACCCACCUGGCAUGGAUAAGUCAGGCAUUCCAGGAAAGUGGUUCUUUUAAGAACUGGUCUUUAAGGGUUGGUUGACUACCUCAGUACAGAGGACUAAACUACCCGGCCUGUACUGUAAAUAGGGAAACUAUAUUGAUGAAAGCAGGGCUUGUUUCCAAUACAAAAUAUGCACAAGGGCUGCGGCGCAAAAACGAUGUACUUAGUGUAAUAUAGUCUUUAGCUGCAGCUCUACAGACUGCAAACAGUCAAACUGGGCAUGCAAAAAACAAUCUCAUGUGAUGAGUCCAAACAAGCCCUGCUUUUAUCUUAUUUUGAACUGAAUUAGCCACCUUGCUUCUUCAGAGUAUGUAGUUACUGGAUGUAUAGGUUCUUUUUUGGAAAAUGUUACUUUUGUAAAGGCUUCAACAUCACAGGCGUUCAACUGCCUUUGAUUUAAAAAGAAAAGAAAAGAAAAAAGAAAUAAAACAAAAUAAAAGCCCUGCAGUGUCCCUUUUGUGCCACUGUGCUGUUUUUUAUAUGGAUAGAAACUCGUUUUUUCCCCCCAUCUAUGUCUGUAAAGUUUUGUCCAUUCAUCUCAUUAUAAAGAUCAUGACUUUUAGCCACAGUGGUCGAAGGGAUACUGCAGUGAACGAUUUCUAUUUCCAUCUAUAGCAUCAUGAAAACUGCUCUUCAAUCCCAGUUUUCUAAUACAGUUAACUCCCUCAGUAAAAUCAUUAACCACCUUUUGAGAAAAAAACAAUGACGUCAGCAGUUUUAAACUAUUGUUGGUGGCCAACAACAUUUUUUGCAUUCCUGCAAAUAAAUUGUUUUAUACUGUAAAAUGGAGGUGAGUG
rnacentral:lncRNA from 1 species